UACGUAGGGUGCAAGCGUUAUCCGGAAUUAUUGGGCGUAAAGAGCUCGUAGGCGGUUUGUCGCGUCUGCUGUGAAAACUGGAGGCUCAACCUCCAGCCUGCAGUGGGUACGGGCAAACUAGAGUGCGGUAGGGGAGAUUGGAAUUCCUGGUGUAGCGGUGGAAUGCGCAGAUAUCAGGAGGAACACCGAUGGCGAAGGCAGAUCUCUGGGCCGUAACUGACGCUGAGGCGCGAAAGCGUGGGGAGCAAACAGG
rnacentral:rRNA from 1 species